CUUCAGGAAGCUCUACCAAAUUCAAGAAGGAACACGAUUCUGAAAUUCAACCGCAACGCGGCACACCCAGGAAGCACACCACACAAUUCAGCUCAAAAACAGAUGCAUCAUCACCUGCUUCCCAGCACUCGGAAGCAACCUCAGACGUUUCCAGUUUUUGGGGGAAGCACACGGAAAUGGGAAGAACAGAGCCACGCAUAGACGUUCUUCUUGAUGCAAACCUGGAGAAGAACAGACUGACCUUUUCCACCAGCUACACUGGAAAAGAAGUUGUUGAGAGCAGAGCAGCAACUUUCCUUCUAGGUAAGCAAGGCUCCCCAGCACCCC